rnacentral:rRNA from 1 species
AUUGAACGCUGGCGGCAUGCUUUACACAUGCAAGUCGAGCGGCAGCGCGGGGGCAACCCUGGCGGCGAGCGGCGAACGGGUGAGUAAUGCAUCGGAACGUAUCCUCGAGUGGGGGAUAACCCAGCGAAAGUUGGGCUAAUACCGCAUGAGCUCUGAGGAGGAAAGCGGGGGACCUGCGAGGGCCUCGCGCUGGAGGAGCGGCCGAUGUCCGAUUAGCUAGUUGGUGGGGUAAAGGCUUACCAAGGCGACGAUCGGUAGCUGGUCUGAGAGGAUGAUCAGCCACACUGGGACUGAGACACGGCCCAGACUCCUACGGGAGGCAGCAGUGGGGAAUUUUGGACAAUGGGGGCAACCCUGAUCCAGCCAUGCCGCGUGAGUGAAGAAGGCCUUCGGGUUGUAAAGCCCUUUCGGACGGAACGAAAUGGGCGGGACUAAUACUCCUGUCUGAUGACGGUACCGUAAGAAGAAGCACCGGCUAACUACGUG